rnacentral:tRNA from 1 species
UAUACUUUAGUGUAUGAUGCACAGAAACUUUUGAUGUUUUUAGAGUAGUUUAAUUCUACAAUGUAUAA